CCUACGGGUGGCAGCAGUGAGGAAUAUUGGUCAAUGGCCGGGAGGCUGAACCAGCCAAGUCGCGUGAGGGAAGACGGCCCUACGGGUUGUAAACCUCUUUUGUCAGGGAGCAAGGUGCAGGGCGGGACCGGCUGUGAGAGUACCUGAAGAAAAAGCAUCGGCUAACUCCGUGCCAGCAGCCGCGGUAAUACGGAGGAUGCGAGCGUUAUACGGAUUUAUUGGGGUUAAAGGGUGCGCAGGCCGGUCUUUAAGCGUGCCGUGAAAUUUUGUGGCUCACCCAUGAGAGUGCGGCGCGAACUGGAGACCUUGAGUGCGCGGCAGGCAGGCGGAAUUCGUGGUGUAGCGGUGAAAUGCUUAGAUAUCACGAAGAACCCCGAUUGCGAAGGCAGCCUGCCGCAGCGUUACUGACGCUGAAGCUCGACAGCGCGGGUAUCGAACAGGAUUAGAUACCCGGGUAGUC
rnacentral:rRNA from 1 species